UGGGGAAUAUUGGACAAUGGGCGCAAGCCUGAUCCAGCAAUGCCGCGUGUGUGAAGAAGGCCUUCGGGUUGUAAAGCACUUUUAUCAGGAGCGAAACGCUGUCGGCUAAUACCCGGCGGAACUGACGGUACCUGAGGAAUAAGCACCGGCUAACUUCGUGCCAGCAGCCGCGGUAAUACGAAGGGUGCAAGCGUUAAUCGGAAUUACUGGGCGUAAAGCGUGCGUAGGCGGUUUCUUAAGUCUGCUGUGAAAUCCCCGGGCUCAACCUGGGAAUGGCAGUGGAUACUGGGAGGCUAGAGUGUGUCAGAGGGUGGUGGAAUUCCCGGUGUAGCGGUGAAAUGCGUAGAGAUCGGGAGGAACAUCAGUGGCGAAGGCGGCCACCUGGGACAACACUGACGCUGAGGCACGAAAGCGUGGGGAGCAAACAGGAUUAGAUACCCUGGUAGUCCACGCCCUAAAGCGAUGCGAACUGGAUGUUGGUCUCAACUCGGAGAUCAGUGUCGAAGCUAACGCGUUAAGUUCGCCGCCUGGGGAGUACGGUCGCAAGACUGAAACUCAAAUGAAUUGACGGGGUCAUAGCUGUUUCCU
rnacentral:rRNA from 1 species